GCUAUUUAAUAAAAGAAAAGACUAAAAUGACAAAAAAAAACCCCUCAAACCUCUCCCUACCCGAUUCCAACUUUCUAACCCUCAUUCCCCUCUCUCGUCACUCCCUCCAUAGGCAGCUGAAGUUCGAAGUAUUGAUCUGAACUAAAACUCAGGCAACGGUGACGAUGAGAAUGUUUGUACCAAUAAAGAAAGUCAUACUAUCAAGGUCCCUUGAAUGGAACCAUCCAUGUAGUUGUUGGGGGAAGAGGCGCUAGCCUUGCAGAAUUCACCAAAAUACAUACUAGAUGGAGUUAUUACAAGGACCGGGACUUUGGAUUCAUAAAGCUUACAACAUUUGACCACUCAAAUCUGUUGUUUGAGUACAAGAAUAGCAGUGAUGGAAAGGUCUAUGACUCCUUUAGAAUCUCACGAGAUUAUAGGAACAUUAUGGCUUGCAGUGUUGACAGUUGCCCAAGCAUGACAUUAGCUUCUUGAAGAGAAUACACUUGGGUAUCUAUGUAAACUUUUACUCGUUGUAGUGGUAAAUUGACACAUCUCUUUCA